AGUGAACGCUGGCGGUAGGCCUAACACAUGCAAGUCGAACGGCAGCACAGUAAGAGCUUGCUCUUACGGGUGGCGAGUGGCGGACGGGUGAGGAAUACAUCGGAAUCUACUUUUUCGUGGGGGAUAACGUAGGGAAACUUACGCUAGUACCGCAUACGACCUACGGGUGAAAGCAGGGGAUCUUCGGACCUUGCGCGAUUGAAUGAGCCGAUGUCGGAUUAGCUAGUUGGCGGGGUAAAGGCCCACCAAGGCGACGAUCCGUAGCUGGUCUGAGAGGAUGAUCAGCCACACUGGAACUGAGACACGGUCCAGACUCCUACGGGUGGCAGCAGUGGGGAAUAUUGGACAAUGGGCGCAAGCCUGAUCCAGCCAUACCGCGUGGGUGAAGAAGGCCUUCGGGUUGUAAAGCCCUUUUGUUGGGAAAGAAAAGCAGCAGGUUAAUACCCCGCUGUUCUGACGGUACCCAAAGAAUAAGCACCGGCUAACUUCGUG
rnacentral:rRNA from 1 species